rfam:Triticum urartu cultivar G1812 contig402075, whole genome shotgun sequence.
AAGCUACUCCCUCCCGUUCCAAAUUACUCGUUGCAGAAAUGAAUGUAUCUAGAACUAAAAUACAUCUAAAUACAUCCAUACCUGUGACAAGUAAUUUGGAACGGAGGGAGUAGAUA